ACCCGGGUGGCUCAGUAGGUUAAGCAUCUGACUUCAGCUCAGGUCAUGAUCUCACGAUUCGUGGGUUCAAACCCCAUGUUGGGCU
rnacentral:tRNA from 1 species